GUUUUAAUAGUUUAUUAAAAACAUUGGUCUUGUAAAUCAAAAAAAAGAUUUUUCUUUUAAAACU
rnacentral:tRNA from 1 species